GGUAUCCUGACCGUGCAAAGGUAGCAUAAUCAUUUGUCUUUUAAUUGAAGACUAGAAUGAAUGGAUAAACAAGAAUAAAUCUGUCUUAAUUUAAAUUAUUAUAAAUUUAUAUUUAGGUGAAGAAUCCUAAAUAAAUCUAUAGGACAAAAAGACCCUAUUGAGCUUUAUUUAAUUUUAUAUAUAAAAUUUUUUUAAAAAGAUUUAUAUAAUAAUAAGAGUUUGGUUGGGGCGACAUAGGAAUAAAAAAAUCUUCUUAUAAGAAUAUAAAAAUAAUAAAUAUCCUAGAAAAAGAAAAAAAAUUAGUUACCAUAGGGAUAACAGGCUAAUCUUUAUUGAGAGUUCAUAUUAACAUAAAGGGUUGGCACCUC
rnacentral:rRNA from 1 species